AUCAACUCAUUGCUAGUGGAAAUGGUGUUAUACCUAAGAUAUCUUAUAGGGAAUAAUAAGAAAAAAUCUUCAUUAGCCACAUACUAAUUCAAAACACUUUAUUUCUCAAUGCGUUUCUUUCACUUUACGGCUUUGAUGAAGCAAUAAAUCCUUUGAAAAGGAAAUUUAAUAUAGUAUUAAUGUUCCAUAGAUUUAAGCUAGUUUGAUUAUCAUGACUCAGUGCAUAGUAUUCUUGAUAUAUCAUCAUUUAUUCACACGGACUGUGUAUAAUCAAUCAAAUCGUGAAUUCGAUCACUUAGCGUAUUCAAUUUGGAGCGUAACAGAUGUGCUCUAUAAAUUAUAUUAACGUCAAACAUUCGAUAUAAAACGGAAUAGUCUUAAGGAGAGUCACAUUAGUUUGUCACUGAGAUCAUGAAGUGGCUGCUGUUCUGCGCGUUCCUUGUACUUGUUGCACAUUGCUGGGCGAUGAACCAGGAUGAGUACAACGUAGACUAUACUGGCAGAUACGCCGAACUCGCCUCUCCCGUACCGUCUCAUGUCAACGUAGACGAGCUUGUAGCAAGUCUGCGAGCAGCAAGCGGCCCUAACUAGUUCAUAUUUAUCAUUAAGAUUAUCCCACUUAUAUUUAAGUACAAUGUAAUUUUUAUACCUAUUAUAAUAAAGUGAAGCGUGCUAUUGUCUGAA